ensembl:lncRNA
CGGUACAGAGUCAAUGUGGAGACUAUAUACAGGGGGUACCGGUACAGAGUCAAUGUGGAGGCUAUAUACAGGGGGUACCGGUACAGAGUCAAUGUGGAGGCUAUAUACAGGGUAUUACGGUACAGAGUCAAUGUGGAGGCUAUAUACAGGGGGUACCGGUACAGAGUCAAUGUGGAGGCUAUAUUCAGGGUAUUACGGUACAGAGUCAAUGUGGAGGCUAUAUACAGGGUGUUACUGUACAGAGUCAAUGUGGAGGCCAUAUACAGGGGGUACCGGUACAGAG